AUUGAACGCUGGCGGCAUGCCUUACACAUGCAAGUCGAACGGCAGCACGGGUGCUUGCACCUGGUGGCGAGUGGCGAACGGGUGAGUAAUACAUCGGAACAUGUCCUGUAGUGGGGGAUAGCCCGGCGAAAGCCGGAUUAAUACCGCAUACGAUCCACGGAUGAAAGCGGGGGACCUUCGGGCCUCGCGCUAUAGGGUUGGCCGAUGGCUGAUUAGCUAGUUGGUGGGGUAAAGGCCUACCAAGGCGACGAUCAGUAGCUGGUCUGAGAGGACGACCAGCCACACUGGUACUGAGACACGGCCCAGACUCCUACGGGAGGCAGCAGUGGGGAAUUUUGGACAAUGGGCGAAAGCCUGAUCCAGCAAUGCCGCGUGUGUGAAGAAGGACUUCGGGUUGUAAAGCACUUUUGUCCGGAAAGAAAUCCUUGACUCUAAUACAGUCGGGGGAUGACGGUACCGGAAGAAUAAGCACCGGCUAACUACGUG
rnacentral:rRNA from 1 species